UUAAGAGUAAUAAUUAAAUACUUAUGACAUCAUGCUGGAAUCACCGAUUCGGCUAGUGUGGUGGAACCGGUGAUCUUUGAUUUAGUAAUAUUUUCAUAUCGUUAUUCAACCGAUCUUCAAAAUAUGCCAAUGUUAUAGGAGUCCGGUUACAAUACUACCGAUAGCAUCAAGCACUUGAUGCUACCAAGUUUUCUAUUGUUAUAUCUAUCCUUUUGACCAUUUAUACCCGUAGAUCAUACUGUUUAACUUACCACCCACUCAACUCUAGAGGAAAACUACCAUUAUUCUAACCGUGCAUUAUAUUACUUCAUCCUAAUGCUAAAAACUUAAUAGCACUAAUGACUUGGUAGUAUUAAUAGUAUUCUUGUCUAGUUAUAGUAUGGGAAUGUAAUUUACCCUAGUCAAAAAUUGCAUAACAUAAAUAUCGAUAGCAAAAGGGCUCCGUUGCCACUCAUUUGUUUUCGAUGAUGGAGCCUCCAAAUCGACGAUCGACAUCAUUGAACAUGAUCUGUACCAUUUGAAGUGUUUAGAAAUCAAAUUUUAUGCAUUUUCGAUAUUGUUCUCUUAUCCAUCGAGUGGACACAAAAAUGAACGGCUGAAAAUGAAUAUUCUUUAAAAAAUGAUGAUAGGAGUCUUGUAAUCAAGAUCAAGAGUAUAGAUCUUAUUUUAAAUAGUUUAAAAAAUUUUUGAAUAAAAAUUCAAUUAAUUUGGAUAUAUUUACGCCGUUAAACGAGAAAACGCCUCACAUCGACCAUUAAAAUUUUAAAUUUUGAAACCCUUUGAUCAUUAGGCAAAUGAUGUCGAAAAGAUUUGAAAUUUGAUUUCUAUACACUUCAAGUGAUAUAAAUCAUGUUCAACAGUGCCGACCGUCGAUUUGGAGGUUCUAUCAUCGAAAACAAAUGGGUGGCAACGAAACCCGUUUGCUGUCGAUAAUGUUCUAGCUCAACUUUAUAUAUAUAUAUAUAUAUAUAUAUAUAUAUAUAUAUAU
rnacentral:lncRNA from 1 species